CGCUUCACAAUAAACAAACAAUGGUUUCAAGAUUUUCGCAUGACGAACCCCGGACACCGUGCAAUUAGAAGCUUGCAAGAGUACGAGGCCGCGCGCUUAAAUGGAUUCAGAAAUCCUUCAUUUUAAAGUUAAAUAGAAGAUCUCGAUAGCCAUGGAUGGAAUUGGCCCUGUACUGGGUUUACUUCGGAGAGUCGGAGACAGAUGUUUCACCACGUCAUUGUGAUGGCCCAUCACCGAUCCUAAUGACGAAGAUCAUGGAGCUGGAGGAGGAAGAUCAACCAUUGUUCCUGAAUCAAAAUCCUACCUCCACACCGUGUCUAUGCCUAGGUUUUCACAGCGAUCGGUGUUGCUUUAUUUGAUGAACUCCUUAUGAUGGGGAACUGCAAUGCCUUAGAACAAAUUAUAGUCCUUUAAGAGAGAAUGGAGAGUGAAUCGAAUCCAUUGUCUAGCAAAUGGUGGACGUCAAGACAACAAGUUCAAUCACAGAUGGGUUGGUUUAUAUGAAGGAGGAACAUUCUUCAUUCUUCUUAAUUACAAUGAAAUCAUUUACCUUUGGGUGUUGGCAUAGUGUUUCAGUACGAGGAGUCAGGAUGUCAAGAAUGCAAAAUGAAAAUGCUCCCCAGGUUAAGGAGGAGCGAGGAUGCAGAGUUACGAGGAGUGGGAAGAGUUGUACACUGGGGGGGCACCAUUUGAAUCCAAAGCUUUCUUGCUCUAUCAAAAUGCAUAAAAUAAGAACUAGAAGACCUUUACACAUGAUCUCCUGACGAGCAGUAUUAAUCAGCGGCAGUGUUGAUGUGCGCUAACCAAUGAGUCAGGAGUUAGAGGUACAGAAAGGUGGAUGAUGAUGGUGUAAAUGCAAGUUGGUGGUAAGAAGGCGGGAGUUUAUAGCGCUAUCAAGGGUCCACAACUCAUAAGCGUAUCAAGCAUGAAACUCUCCUCUGUUAUGGAUCUUGGUUUUCUCUUUGCCGUGAUGCAAUGCGGCUGAUAUUUCGAAUUGCCGGCUGUUGAAUUAAUCUGAUUGUUGGUUAGUUGUUAAGUUACAAUAAUUACCUGGCAGUAGACAGCAAGUAGGAGGUGAAGGUGUGGCUAAUAGAUGAAUGUGCAUGCAGGUAGAGCGUUAUAGGAGAAAUAAAGUUGGCGAUGGCGCCGGGAGUGGGAGGGG